AUUGAACGCUGGCGGCAGGCCUAACACAUGCAAGUCGAGCGAAUGAGGGGGUUUUGCCCGUGGAUUCGGCGGCGACCGGGUGGGAAAUGCCUAGCACUCUGCCUGGUCGUGGGGGAUAACGUCCGAAAACGGGCGCUAAUCCCGCCUACGUCCUGAGGGCGAAGGUGGGGGAUCUUCGGACCUCACGCUAUCAGAUGAGCCUAGGUCGGAUUCGCUAGUUGGUGGGGUAAAGGCCUACCAAGGCGACGAUCCGUAACUGGUCUGAGAGGAUGAUCAGUCACACUGGAACUGAGACACGGUCCAGACUCCUACGGGAGGCAGCAGUGGGGAAUAUUAGGCGAUGGGCGAAAGCCUGAUCCAACCAUGCCGCGUGUGUGAAGAAGGUCUUCGGAUUGUAAAGCACUUUAAGUUGGGAGGAAGGGCAGUAAGUUAAGACCUUGCUGUUUUGACGUUACCAACAGAAUAAGCACCGGCUAACUUCGUG
rnacentral:rRNA from 1 species